GACGGAGGAUGCAAGUGUUAUCCGGAAUCACUGGGCGUAAAGCGUCUGUAGGUGGUUCAAUAAGUCAACUGUUAAAUCUUGAGGCUCAACUUCAAAAUCGCAGUCGAAACUAUUGGACUCGAGUAUAGUAGGGGUAAAGGGAAUUUCCAGUGGAGCGGUGAAAUGCGUAGAGAUUGGAAAGAACACCAAUGGCGAAAGCACUUUACUGGGCUAUUACUGACACUGAGAGACGAAAGCUAGGGUAGCAAUGGG
rnacentral:rRNA from 1 species